rnacentral:tRNA from 1 species
CGGGGUGUGGCGCAGCCUGGUAGCGCACUUGCAUGGGGUGCAGGGGGUCCCGAGUUCGAAUCCCGGCACCCCGA